UUCGCGCAUGCGUGCGUGCCUCGUGCGUACCUGCCCGCCUGCGUGUGCGUGCGUGCGUGCGCCUGUGCGUGCGCGCAGUCGCGCACACGGGAGAUGCCUGGGCAGUCUCGGCUUCUGGAACCUCCAGUGGAAACGCAGCUUCUCUCCACACAACUGGGAAAUAGCCAUGCUGAGGUGUAAAGCCAGGGUCUCAACUGAGUCCAAAGUCUGUGUUCUUAAUGACCUUGCUACAUCAUCUAUCUCAUGCUAAUAACGUUCUGAAACUGCAGAGGAGCCUAGGAUAAAAGCGUCCAUUCCCAGGUCACCACGGAGACGGCACCCACUGGCAGACAACCAUGAUCCCCGAGAGCUCUCUGAGGCGGGCGCCACGCCAUGUUUGCAACUUUUAAAAUCUAUAAAGUACUUUGCACUUCCUCGGGAAAGACCUAAAAAUAUGAAGUCACUUAUCACUUCACCUCAGAAGUUAAGCAAAAUUUUCACUAGCUUGAGAAGUCUUCCAAGGUGAAUCGGGUUGGGGAUCUGACCUUGUUUUGGUGCAUAAACUGAACUUGAAUAAAACAGUAGUUCUGUCAGUGGACUAGCACUUACUGAGCCUGAGAAACCCUACUGGCUCAUUAAAAAAAAAUCCAGUCCUCUUUGAACAGUGAUCAUCACUACUCCUGGGUCAGAAUCACUGUUUAUAUAUAAAAAUACUCUCGCAUGAAUAUUUUAUGAUUUACGGUUUAGUUUUGCUGUCAACAUCUACCUUUCUGUAUUCUUUAAACAAGAAUGUUCUGAAAACAACUUGCAGUUAACAUGUCAUGGAAUUCUUGCUAUCGACUGCCCACACUGUGACUAUUUGAUUUCAAUUCAGGUUUUGCGAAAGGAAAUAGUUUACCUGUGGUUUCAUGUAUGUGAUUGAAAUCAUACUUGUCCUUAUAUGAACUUGUCCUAAGCUUCAUACAUUCCUGGAGAAAGGCAAGGAGGGAGAUAAAGAUAUGAAGCAGCAUUUAGAGAGCAGGAGAACCUAUAAUGCCCUUCAGUGGUGGCUACAGAACUGUCUAAGCCACAGACAUUCUACAUCCCAUCUCUCAUGCUUGCUGCAGCUCCGUGAAGUAAGCCUCAUGGUUAUUAUUAGGCCUAAUUUCAAAUGUGGAAACAAGCUUGGAGAGUUAAAUACUCACAAUAAGUAAUAACAAAGACUUGAACACCCAACUUUCUGGCUCGAAGUCGUGGUGCUUCUUCCUAUCGUGUGGCUUCUGUAGUUUCCUCUCUUUGUGUUUUUUGCUUGCACUUUGAUAUUUUCAAGGGGAUAUAAAGCAAGAGGCUGUAUACCUUUCUUCUGCUGCUGCCUACCUUAUCUUCGCACAUUAACUAUUAACUUUCUCUGGCAACGCAGGCACUAGCCUGGACACUUCCCCAUUUUUUCACUGCUGCUAAACGCUGAUAACGGAGUUGAGGUGCCCACAGUACAAAAACUUUCUGCUUUUUUUUAAACUGCAAAGUUGUAUGUAUUUUAAAUUCAGGCUCUAUGAGCAUAGAGAAUUUCUCAUGAUUUCAGGAAACGUUAAGUCGAUCUGAAGCUUAUUCCUCCCCUCCCCCAACAAAUCAUUAAAUAAAGUACAGAGCACUGUGUUUCGCCUGUGGCACCAUCCCAGGAAAGCAUGGUAAUAGCAUCUAAGGAAGUGUUCCAAAGGGCCCUACUGCAGUCUUCCUGUGGAUCUGUUGUCCACAGCUGCAGACUGGCUCCCUGGAAAACUGGAAGCAUUGCUGGACACACCUUAGCAGAGUUUAGCACUCACUGGGAGCCAGUCAAAUAGCCACAGCACAUGUUAUAACACUAUAACAUUUAAGUAUCUCCUAAGACCAACUCCAAAGACUUGUAAAUAAAGAUCUGGAAGGUGUGGGCACUAGUAUUACUGGUGUUUCUCUUCUUGUUCUUCUCGGAGCCAAGUAAAAUGUCUGCCUUUAAGUUUUUAGGCCUCAAAACUCAUUUUUGCUUGAACCUCUUAAAAAAUUCAAAAAGUCAAUUAGGCACUAAUAAGCUGGUCAAGUUGGUUGGAAGCUGUAAUAUAUGUACCUUCCUAAAUACUUCUGAAUAUUUACGAGCUUUUUCGUGGGGUGUACAGGGUUACUUGGAAAUAUUAGAAAUAAAAACCUUGGAAGUAAAUCUUGUUGGUAGCUUCUUCCCAAAUAAAACUGAACACUUAACAGGGAUGAUUAUCCACCACUUUGAAAUACCAGAGAAAAAGACUUUUGCUUAAAAAAAAAAUUAUUUUUAUUUAACUACUAAGCCAUCCAUCCACUGGCAGAUGAGAAAGCAAUAAACUUGUCGAGUUUCGUUAACACAUUUGCUCUUUUUUUAUUUUUUAGAAUAUAGUCUACAUCUGGAUUAAAAAAGUUUUAAAUAAAUUUAAGACAUAUAACAACUGGAACCCUUCAUCAUUCCAUAUACAACACGGAUAGAAUGUCAGCUGGUUCCAUUUCUGAUAAGUCCACUUUCUCAUAAUAAUGUUAUUAUUUUCACUGGCUGGGUGGCAAGCUUCGUACAAGCUGGCCCAGGGCCAGCUUACACACACCGGGGUGGGGGUAGCGUGGAAGGGAUGGAGUAGGGGUGCCACAGGACAACUAUACAGUGUAACAGAAAAUCAUUAAUAAAGUAGUACCGGUUACCGACAGACAGUGCUGUUUGUGCGCAUAUCACAAUGGAAUCGCCGAAGUUUCAGAGCAAGGAGGAGAUUCGAAAUACUUAAGACAGGGCCACUGUUACCAAAAAAAAAAAAAAAAAAAAAAAAG